UACGUAGGGUGCAAGCGUUAUCCGGAAUUAUUGGGCGUAAAGAGCUCGUAGGCGGUUUGUCGCGUCUGCUGUGAAAACCUAAGGCUCAACCUUGGGCUUGCAGUGGGUACGGGCAGACUAGAGUGCGGUAGGGGUGACUGGAAUUCCUGGUGUAGCGGUGAAAUGCGCAGAUAUCAGGAGGAACACCGGUGGCGAAGGCGGGUCUCUGGGCCGAUACUGAC
rnacentral:rRNA from 1 species